rnacentral:ncRNA from 1 species
ACUUUCAUACAGGAGUCAUGCGUUGGACAGUCAUCCUUAUUGUUAUUCUCCGGCAAGCUAACGCGACUGUUUUCGCUGCUUGCCGAACCGGCGGGCAGCAAUCUUU